GGACAGAAGUACUGCUACCAUGGUCCUGAAGAAGUCUGAAAAUGGGUUAAAUUCACAGCAUCAUGUAGUAUGAUAGUAUCAUGCUUGUUAAAAUAUAUCAGCAGCAUAGAGCAACAGAGGCCAAUAUCUAAAGAGCCCAGUGAGGAAGACAACAGCAGAGGCCAGGGAAGACCUGCGGCAGGUCUGUAGACCAGACACACUACCCCAGCAGUAUAAUGGGAUGUAAGCUCCCCUGCCCACAACUGUAAUACUGAUGCA
rnacentral:lncRNA from 1 species